UAAACUGUUGGGUCGCCGUCGUCGGUCGUUGU
rnacentral:piRNA from 1 species